UGCCAGCAGCCGCGGUAAUACGUAGGGUGCGAGCGUUAAUCGGAAUUACUGGGCGUAAAGCGUGCGCAGGCGGUUUUGUAAGUCGGAUGUGAAAUCCCCGGGCUCAACCUGGGAACUGCGUUCGAAACUGCAAGGCUAGAGUGUGUCAGAGGGGGGUAGAAUUCCACGUGUAGCAGUGAAAUGCGUAGAGAUGUGGAGGAAUACCAAUGGCGAAGGCAGCCCCCUGGGAUAACACUGACGCUCAUGCACGAAAGCGUGGGGAGCAAACAGGAUUAGAUACCCUGGUAGUCCACGCCCUAAACGAUGUCAACUAGUUGUUGGUAGAGUAAAAUCUAUGAGUAACGUAGCUAACGCGUGAAGUUGACCGCCUGGGGAGUACGGUCGCAAGAUUAAAACUCAAAUGAAUUGACGG
rnacentral:rRNA from 1 species